rnacentral:rRNA from 1 species
UGGGGAAUAUUGGACAAUGGGGGCAACCCUGAUCCAGCGAUGCCGCGUGAGUGAAGAAGGCCUUCGGGUCGUAAAGCUCUUUAGGUUGGGAAGAAGUAUGGUGGAUGAAUAAGCUGCCAUAUUGACGGUACCGACAGAAUAAGCACCGGCAAACUCUGUGCCAGCAGCCGCGGUAAUACAGAGGGUGCGAGCGUUAAUCGGAAUUACUGGGUGUAAAGGGCGCGUAGGCGGUGUUAUGUGUGUGAUGUGAAAGCCCCGGGCUUAACCUGGGAAGAGCAUCGCAAACUAUAGUACUAGAGUAUAUGAGAGGGUGGCGGAAUUUCCGGUGUAGCGGUGAAAUGCGUAGAGAUCGGAAGGAACGUCGAUGGCGAAGGCAGCCACCUGGCAUAAUACUGACGCUGAGGCGCGAAAGCGUGGGUAGCGAACAGGAUUAGAUACCCCCGUAGUCC